GUCGCUCCUUGGACAUCCGAUAAAAUUGGAACGAUACAAAGAAGACUAGUAUAUGGGCCCUUGCGCAAGGAUACAACAACAACAACAAACCAGUGUAUU
rnacentral:snRNA from 1 species